rnacentral:rRNA from 1 species
AGUGAACGCUGGCGGUAGGCCUAACACAUGCAAGUCGAACGGCAGCACAGUAAGAGCUUGCUCUUACGGGUGGCGAGUGGCGGACGGGUGAGGAAUACAUCGGAAUCUACUUUUUCGUGGGGGCUAACGUAGGGAAACUUACGCUAAUACCGCAUACGACCUACGGGUGAAAGCAGGGGAUCUUCGGACCUUGCGCGAUUGAAUGAGCCGAUGUCGGAUUAGCUAGUUGGCGGGGUAAAGGCCCACCAAGGCGACGAUCCGUAGCUGGUCUGAGAGGAUGAUCAGCCACACGGGAACUGAGACACGGUCCAGACUCCUACGGGAGGAAGCAGUGGGGAAUAUUGGACAAUGGGCGCAAGCCUGAUCCAGCCAUACCGCGUGGGUGAAGAAGGCCUUCGGGUUGGAAAGCCCUUUUGUUGGGAAAGAAAAGCAGCAGGUUAAUACCCCGCUGUUCUGACGGUACCCAAAGAAUAAGCACCGGCUAACUUCGUG